GACGAACGCUGGCGGCGUGCUUAACACAUGCAAGUCGAGCGGUAAGGCUCCUUCGGGAGUACACGAGCGGCGAACGGGUGAGUAACACGUGAGCAAUCUGCCCAUCUCUUUGGAAUAAGCGUUGGAAACGACGUCUAAUGCCGAAUACGACCUCCUUUCGCAUGAUCGGAGGUGGAAAGCUCCGGCGGAGAUGGAUGAGCUCGCGGCCUAUCAGCUAGUUGGGAGGUAACGGCCCACCAAGGCGACGACGGGUAGCCGGCCUGAGAGGGUGACCGGCCACACUGGGACUGAGACACGGCCCAGACUCCUACGGGAGGGCAGCAGUGGGGAAUAUUGGACAAUGGGCGAAAGCCUGAUCCAGCAACGCCGCGUGAGGGAUGACGGCCU
rnacentral:rRNA from 1 species